UCUGGUGUCUCAGACGUUAAUGAGUCUGCCUGCAAUGCAGGAGACCCAGGUUCAAUCCCUGCGUCAGGA
rfam:Ovis aries breed Texel chromosome 3, whole genome shotgun sequence.